rnacentral:rRNA from 1 species
UACGAAGGGGGCUAGCGUUGCUCGGAAUCACUGGGCGUAAAGCGUACGUAGGCGGCUUUGCAAGUUAGAGGUGAAAGCCUGGAGCUCAACUCCAGAACUGCCUUUAAAACUGCAUCGCUUGAAUCCAGGAGAGGUGAGUGGAAUUCCGAGUGUAGAGGUGAAAUUCGUAGAUAUUCGGAAGAACACCAGUGGCGAAGGCGGCUCACUGGACUGGUAUUGACGCUGAGGUACGAAAGCGUGGGGAGCAAACAGGG